rnacentral:miRNA from 1 species
CGUAGUUGCAGAGCUUGACGG